AGAGAGAGACAUGCGCGCAUAUCAAUAAGCGGAGGAAAAGAAACUAACAAGGAUUCCCUUAGUAACGGCGAGUGAAGCGGGAAGAGCUCAAAUUUGAAAUCUUCAAGGUUUUACCUUGACGAAUUGUAGUUUAAAGAAGUGUUUUCUGCUGAAGUUUUGGUAAAAGUUCUUUGGAAUAGGACAUCAUAGAGGGUGAGAAUCCCGUAUUUGACCAUUAUUUCCAGCUUUGUGAUACACUUUCAAAGAGUCGGAUUGUUUGGGAAUGCAGUCCAAAAUGGGUGGUAAAUUUCAUCUAAAGCUAAAUAUUGGCGAGAGACCGAUAGCGAACAAGUACCGUGAGGGAAAGAUGAAAAGAACUUUGAAAAGAGAGUUAAACAGUACGUGAAAUUGUCAAAAGGGAAGCGUUUGACACCAGUGUUGUUUUCUCGAAAAUCAAUUAAAAAUGGCUCGAUUUUGUAUUGUUGAGACCUUAAAAGCUCACUGUACAUUUUUCGUGUCUUUUUUAAUGCACUUUUCGUUUAACAAGUCAACAUCAGUUUCUUUUGUUGUAAAAGGGUCAUUGGAAGGUGGCUUUCCUUUCGGAGAAAGUGUUUAUAGCCUUUGGCCUCUGCAAUCGGAGAGACUGAGGUCUGCAGCGUAGAUCCUUCGGGGUUAGAUACAUUUGUGCUAAGUUAUAGCCUUUUCAUAGACAACUUGUUGACUAUAAUCAGUCAUGUAGCUUACUCGCUUAUGCUAUUUUACCUACGCUUAGGAUGUUGAAGAUGUAGCACAUCAU
rnacentral:rRNA from 1 species